rnacentral:lncRNA from 1 species
CUCAUAUUAAAAAUUUCUGCUAAAUAUAAUUUUAGUAAAUAUGGAUAAAAUAGCAUAGUUGUUCAUCGAGGUUAUUAUCCCUUAAUAUGAAAUUUAAAAAGUAUUAUGAACUAGCAGGUGUGACUCUGAAUUAUAGGUCAGCAAAUAUCUCUCUUUCCAUCCUGUUGAGUGUACUUUACCACCUCCUUAAUUUUGAGCUUGGCCAUGUAACUUGCCUUGGUCUAUAGAACAGUGACCGAUUUGACCCAGGUAGAGGCCUUACAUGAGGUUUGGCUUGGCCCUUAUACUCUAGUGCUCCAUCAUGAGAAGAACAUGAGGCAAGUAGCUACUGCCCUUCAAUCUGGGCCCUAGAAUGAACACACGUGGAAUACACUUGAACCCAGCCCACAACCUGGAAGCAAGUUCAGUCAAUCCACAGCCUGAAGAAGAGCUACCAAGCCAAGUCUUUUCCAGCAAAAUCUCAUUAGCCGGCAGGAGGAGACUUCUGGAGGUGGUAGAGAGGCAAUGGAAAAUAGACAUUUAAGAAUGCAAACCAGCAUAAGAUAGACAGUGGUAAGUACUGUGGAGAAAGAUACAGCUGAGAAAGAGGAUUAGAGUUCUU